rnacentral:rRNA from 1 species
GCAUGGCUAAAACAUGCAAGUCGAACGCGAAAGCACUCGGGUGCGAGUAGAGUGGCGAAAGGGCGAGGAAUAUGUUUCUACGUACCCCCAAGUCAAGGAUAGCCCAGGGAAACUUGGAGUAAUACUUGAUGUGGGCUUCGGAUCAAAGACUGGUCGCUCGGGGAGCGGGGAACAUCCUAUCAGGUUGUUGGUGAGGUAACGGCUCACCAAGCCAAAGACGGGUAGCGGGUGUGAGAGCAUGACCCGCCGCAUCGGGACUGAGACACUGCCCGGACUCCUACGGGAGGCUGCAGUAACGAAUAUUCCGCAAUGGACGAAAGUCUGACGGAGCAAUGCCGCGUGCAGGAUGAAUCCCUUCGGGGUGUAAACUGCUGUCAGGGUUAGGAACACAAUGACCAGACCCAAAGGAAGGGCCGGCUAACUUCGUGCCAGCAGCCGCGGUAAUACGAAGGGCCCGAGCGUUAAUCGGAAUCACUGGGCUUAAAGCGUACGUAGGCGGACAUGUAGGUACUUUGUGAAAUCCCACCGCUCAACGGUGGAACUGCUGGGUAUACCGCAUGUCUUGAGACAGGUAGGGGUCGUCGGAACGAUAGGUGGAGUGGUGAAAUGCGUUGAUAUCUAUCGGAACGCCGAAGGAGAAGUCAGGCGACUGGGCCUGUUCUGACGCUGAGGUACGAAAGCGUGGGUAGCGAACGGGAUUAGAUACCCCGGUAGUCCACGCCGUAAACGAUGUGCACUAGGUUGGGGACGUACUGACACGUUUCCUGGCCGAAGCGAAAGUGUUAAGUGCACCGCCUGGGGAGUACGGUCGCAAGGCUAAAACUCAAAGGAAUUGACGGGGGCUCACACAAGCGGUGGAGCAUGUGGCUUAAUUCGAAGCAACGCGAAGAACCUUAUCCUGGGUUUGACAUGUAUGGAUUAACUCCGUGAAAGCGGAGCCACGCCUUCGGGUGGAACAUACACAGGUGCUGCAUGGCUGUCGUCAGCUCGUGCUGUGAAGUGUCGGGUUAAGUCCCUUAACGAGCGAAACCCCUGCCGCUAGUUGCCAACCCAACAGAUAAUGCUGGGGACUCUAGCGGGACUGCCGGCGUCAAGUCGGAGGAAGGUGGGGACGACGUCAAGUCCGCAUGGCCUUUAUGCCCAGGGCUGCACACGUGCUACAAUGGCGUAUACAGAGCGACGCGAGACCGCGAGGUGGAGCAAAUCGCAAAAAGUACGCCCCAGUUCGGAUUGCAGGCUGCAACUCGCCUGCAUGAAGUUGGAAUCGCUAGUAAUCGGAGAUCAGCACGCCCGGUGAAUACGUUCCUGAGCCUUGUACACACCGCCCGUCAAGUCAUGGAAGCAGGCAGCGCCCGAAGUCGCGACGUUUCAGCGGUGCCCACGGUGAGGCUGGU